GGGAGUAUAGCUCAUUGUGGCAUAGCAUUGGACUGCAGAUCGAGAGGUUCUCGGUUCAAACCCGAGUGUCCUCU